rnacentral:sRNA from 1 species
GCGUACCACCUCGUACACUGCGGUCCCUCCGCGCCGUCCGCGCCCCCGGCGACUGCUCGCCACGUUUUGCUAGCC